AUUGAACGCUGGCGGCAUGCCUUACACAUGCAAGUCGAACGGCAGCGGACCUUCGGGUGCCGGCGAGUGGCGAACGGGUGAGUAAUAUAUCGGAACGUACCUUUCAGUGGGGGAUAACGUAGCGAAAGUUACGCUAAUACCGCAUAUUCUGUGAGCAGGAAAGCAGGGGAUCGCAAGACCUUGCGCUGAUUGAGCGGCCGAUAUCAGAUUAGCUAGUUGGUGAGGUAAAGGCUCACCAAGGCGACGAUCUGUAGCGGGUCUGAGAGGAUGAUCCGCCACACUGGAACUGAGACACGGUCCAGACUCCUACGGGAGGCAGCAGUGGGGAAUUUUGGACAAUGGGCGCAAGCCUGAUCCAGCCAUGCCGCGUGAGUGAAGAAGGCCUGGUGUAAGACUCUUCGGUCCGGACGGAAAGUACGACACGGUUAAGUACCCUACGUGUGGAUGACGGUACCGGAA
rnacentral:rRNA from 1 species